UCCGCUGUGCUGGGCGCCGCCCGCGCUCUGGCGCCCGCCUGCCGAACCCGGGCGCUGCUUCGUCUUCCUCACCGCCAAUCUGUGCCUGCUCCCCGACGGGCAAGCGCGCUUCGGCAACCUACCGCACAGCCAGCGACCGGCCGAGGCCAUUGGCGCCGCGCGGCCCGCGCUCUACAGGGCUACGGACUGCAGCCAGCCGUGGUCCAGGGCGCCGCGCGGGACGCUGGUGGCCUCGCUGCCCGUGGGUCUGGACUUUGUGUGCCUGCAGGAGGUAUUCGAUCUGCGCAGGGCUCGUCGCUUGGUGAAUCGCCUGGCGCCCAACCUGGGCCCGUUGCUGUACGACGUGGGCACGCUCGGCCUACAGCCCGGGCGGCACCUCAAGCUGCUGGACAGCGGGCUGCUGCUGGCCUCGCGCUACCCGCUGCUGCGCGCCACCUUCCGUUGCUUCCCCCACGCACGUGGCGAGGACGCGCUGGCCUCCAAGGGACUACCGUCCGCACAGGCGAGGCUGGGCAGCCUGGACGGGCGCCGCAUCGUGGGAUUCCUGCACUGCACGCAUUUGCAAGCACUGGCUG